rfam:Triticum aestivum genome assembly, contig: Triticum_aestivum_CS42_TGACv1_scaffold_321230_4BL
AAAGUAGUCCCUCCGUCCCAAAAUUCUUGUCUUGGAUUUGUCUAGAUACGGAUGUAUCAAGUCACAUUUUAGUAUUAGAUACAUCCGUAUCUAGACAAAUCUAAGACAACAAAUAUGGGAUAGAGGGAGUAGUUG